UGCCUGAGUGGCGGAAUCGGUAGACGCAGGGGACUCAAAAUCCCCCGUGGGCAACCACGUGAGGGUUCGAGUCCCUCCUUAGGCACCAU
rnacentral:tRNA from 1 species